rnacentral:rRNA from 1 species
AGAGUUUGAUUAUGGCUCAGGAUGAACGCUAGCUACAGGCUUAACACAUGCAAGUCGAGGGGUAGCAGGGUAGCAAUACCGCUGACGACCGGCGCACGGGUGAGUAACACGUAUCCAACCUUCCCAUAACUCAGGGAUAGCCUUUCGAAAGAAAGAUUAAUACCUGAUAGUACUUAUAUAAGGCAUCUUAUUUAAGUUAAAGAUUUAUUGGUUAUGGAUGGGGAUGCGUUCCAUUAGAUAGUUGGUGAGGUAACGGCUCACCAAGUCUUCGAUGGAUAGGGGUUCUGAGAGGAAGGUCCCCCACAUUGGUACUGAGACACGGACCAGACUCCUACGGGAGGCAGCAGUGAGGAAUAUUGGUCAAUGGGCGAGAGCCUGAACCAGCCAAGUAGCGUGAAAGGAUGAAGGUCCUAUGGAUUGUAAACUUCUUUUAUAGUAGAAUAAAGUUAUCCACGUGUGGUUAUUUGUAUGUAUACUAUGAAUAAGGAUCGGCUAACUCCGUGCCAGCCGCCGC